ACGGUUCCAGGAAAGUAUGUACCGGAGUUUUAGUGUUGAAAACCCAUGGCUGUGGUCCCAACAAUAUCAACUAAAUAUUUUGCAAAACUAAUAUUAUUUAUUUAAAACCAAAACAAGUUGUACUUUUGAAGAAUCGUGUGCCCAUUUCAUGUGUAUACUACAUCUUAAAAAACAAAAAAACUUCAGAAAAUAUGUUUCAACCUAUAAAAAACUUGAAAGGAAGAAGAGACUUCAUGAUCUGGUCGCCUUUCCUUUGUAGAACAUGUGCAGCAGGGGUGACAGUAUGCUUCUCUCCAACUCACUCUGCAAGCAGCACCUCCCUCCCCUUUUCUCUCUCUGCUGCUCACCCAGGCACCCCUCUCCCCUUCCCUAUUCUGCCACAGAAUCAUUGAGAGCAGCUCAUGAUGGCGGAUCUGUGGACAUUUUUCACCUAGCUGAUAAGGACACUGCCACAUGGGAUGUGUGCAGGAAAGUCAUUGGCCAAUGUGGAACACCAGCAAUUUACACAAACAUAUAAAAGCAGUUCAUCUUCGAGAGAACUCGAGAGCUGCAAAAGCAGUUGAGAAAGGGGGUGGUCGCCAAACCAGAUCCCCGAGGUCACUGGCAGAUGCUCUUCAGCCCGAAAUCAGGAAUAUCCAGGAAACGGAUGAAGUGGUCCGGGACUGGAACGCACCAACCGUAAGGGGAAGGUUGACAGGUAAGUUGGGAGAAUUUUCCAAGUAAGAAUAUCUUUAUAAGUUAGGCUGAUUUGCUUACUGGUAAGUGAAUGAGAUCCACCAGGGAGGGGGUUAACGAUUGGGGUCCGAGAGUGUGGACGAGGCACUGGAGCUCUGGGGAACAAGGUAAGUGGUUUGUUGGUAGCGUGAUGACCAUGGGAGUCUUUACCACUGAGGUCGAGGGCUCGCCAGUUAGUGAAGUUACUUGCACAACACAGAUUCCUGGUGGUGGCUUGCCAGUGGUGGAACGUGGUGGGAGGGUUUGCGCGGCGGAGGGUGAGCAAGGUUCGGUUCCGGAGGCCAGUAAUGUCUGAGGAGGCUUGAGGCUGUUAGCUGGAGCUUGAUCCGAGGAGGAUUACUUGGAGACUUGGAAUCUUGGACCAUCAAGAGUGGUAAGCUUGAGAUCUUGAACCGGGACUUGGAGAUACCUGGAAGGA